GAUGAAGAACGCAGCGAAAUGCGAUACGUAAUGCGAAUUGCAGAAUUCAGUGAGUCAUCGAAUCUUUGAACGCACAUUGCGCCCUGUGGUAUUCCGCAGGGCAUGCCUGUUCGAGCGUCAUUUCAACCCUCAAGCUCUGCUUGGUGUUGGGCCCUGCCCGCUGCGGCCGGCCCUAAAGACAGUGGCGGUGCCGCCUGGCCCUGAGCGUAGUACAUCUCUCGCUCCAGUGCCCGGUGGUAGCCUGCCAGAACCCCAACUCUCGUGGUUGACCUCGGAUCAGGUAGGGAUACCCGCUGAACUUAAGCAUAUCAAUAAGCGGAGGA
rnacentral:misc_RNA from 1 species